AUUGGACGCUGGCGGCAGGCCUAACACAUGCAAGUCGAACGGUAGCACAGAGAGCUUGCUCUCGGGUGACGAGUGGCGGACGGGUGAGUAACGUCUGGGAAACUGCCCGAUGGAGGGGGAUAACUACUGGAAACGGUAGCUAAUACCGCAUAACGUCGCAAGACCAAAGUGGGGGACCUUAGGGCCUCACACCAUCGGAUGUGCCCAGAUGGGAUUAGCUAGUCGGUGGGGUAAUGGCUCACCUAGGCGACGAUCCCUAGCUGUUCUGAGAGGAUGACCAUGCACACUGGAACUGAGACACGGUCCAGACUCCUACGGGAGGCAGCAGUGGGGAAUAUUGCACAAUGGGCGCAAGCCUGAUGCAGCCAUGCCGCGUGUAUGAAGAAGGCCUUCGGGUUGUAAAGUACUUUCAGCGGGGAGGAAGGCGGUGAAGUUAAUAACUUCACCGAUUGACGUUACCCUCAGAAGAAGCACCAGCUAACUCCGUGCCAGCAGCCGCGGUAA
rnacentral:rRNA from 1 species